rnacentral:rRNA from 1 species
ACCCCCACCACAGAACAUUGCAACAACCAUCUCGAUGCUAACUUCGGUCAGCCGCAGUGACUAGGCCCAAGCGACUGCUUAUCAAAAACACAGGUCUCUGCAAAAUCGUAUGAUGAAGUAUAGGGGCUGACGCCUGCCCGGUGCUGGAAGGUUAUGAGGAUGGGUUAGCUUCACAGGUCGGUCAUCCGCACUAUUUGUGGUUUUUUUUU